rnacentral:tRNA from 1 species
UUGGGCUAUAGCUCAGUUGGUAGAGUGCUUGCCUUGCAUGCACAAGGCCCUGGGUUCGAGCCCCAGCACCAAA